GAUUUGCCCAACAUAAUGAAUUGGAGAGGAGCGGUGGGGCACGAUUCAGUCCACUGCACACGUUCUCCUCUCCAGACCUCUCACUGGGAGCUUGUCAUUGCCUGGAAGAGUGCUGGGCACACAAUAGUAUGAUCAGCUCGUCGAAAGAAUGAAUCAAUGACACUCUGUCUUCGUGGAGAGCAGCCUGGGUGUGGAAUCAGGCACCCCCGGGUUCAAAGCCAUCACUGUUAAACAGCUGAAUGCUUUCAUUCAUUGGAGAGGAGCAACCAGAUUAUCUAAUUAUAGUUAUACUGCAAGAUACAAACAGCUUGUAAGCUGAAACGUUCCAAAAGGCGAACUCACAAAGAGUGGGACUCACCGACCUGAGGGUUUGCCAGCACACUCGUAGCCCGUGGGACUAGAGUAUUUGUGAGAGAGGAGCAUGGUCUUUUGAUUGAAGAACGGAAGUCAUUCGUGAAGGACACAGCACACACAGCCCAGAGAGCUCGCAGGUUAAAACUGGGCAUGGAGCAAUGUCUGCCAGCCAUUCAGGGGACUUCAAAAUAGGUCAGAAUACAUUUCCAGAAAGUGACACCAUCUUUUUGGGUUUGGGUAUAAUAAUAAAUCUAGGGGAUAAGAAC